CCUACGGGAGGCUGCAGUGGGGAAUAUUGGACAAUGGGCGAAAGCCUGAUCCAGCCAUGCCGCGUGUGUGAAGAAGGCCUUCGGGUUGUAAAGCACUUUCAGUGGGGAAGAAAGCCUUGGGGCUAAUACCCUCGAGGAAGGACAUCACCCACAGAAGAAGCACCGGCUAACUCCGUGCCAGCAGCCGCGGUAAUACGGAGGGUGCGAGCGUUAAUCGGAAUUACUGGGCGUAAAGCGCGCGUAGGCGGUCUGAUAAGCCGGUUGUGAAAGCCCCGGGCUCAACCUGGGAACGGCAUCCGGAACUGUCAGGCUAGAGUGCAGGAGAGGAAGGUAGAAUUCCCGGUGUAGCGGUGAAAUGCGUAGAGAUCGGGAGGAAUACCAGUGGCGAAGGCGGCCUUCUGGACUGACACUGACGCUGAGGUGCGAAAGCGUGGGUAGCAAACAGGAUUAGAUACCCGGGUAGC
rnacentral:rRNA from 1 species